GACGAACGCUGGCGGCGUGCUUAACACAUGCAAGUCGAACGGCAAGGCCCUGCUUUUGUGGGGUGCUCGAGUGGCGAACGGGUGAGUAACACGUGAGUAACCUGCCCUUGACUUUGGGAUAACUUCAGGAAACUGGGGCUAAUACCGGAUAGGAGCUCCCGCUGCAUGGUGGGGGUUGGAAAGUUUCGGCGGGUGGGGAUGGACUCGCGGCUUAUCAGCUUGUUGGUGGGGUAGUGGCUUACCAAGGCUUUGACGGGUAGCCGGCCUGAGAGGGUGACCGGCCACAUGAGGACUGAGAUACGGCCCAGACUCCUACGGGAGGCAGCAGUGGGGAAUAUUGCCCAAUGGGCGGAAGCCUGAUGCAGCAACGCCGCGUGCGGGAUGACGGCCUUCGGGUUGUAAACCGCUUUCGCCUGUGACGAAGCGUGAGUGACGGUAAUGAGUAAAGAAGCACCGGCUAACUACGUG
rnacentral:rRNA from 1 species